UGACAGUACUCCUACGGGGAGGCAGCAGUGGGGGAAUAUUGCACAAUGGGCGCAAGCCUGAUGCAGCCAUGCCGCGUGUGUGAAGAAGGCCUUCGGGUGUAAAGCACUUUCAGUCGUGAGGAAGGUAGUGUAGUUAAUAGCUGCAUUAUUUGACGUUAGCGACAGAAGAAGCACCGGCUAACUCCGUGCCAGCAGCCGCGGUAAUACGGAGGGUGCGAGCGUUAAUCGGAAUUACUGGGCGUAAAGCGCAUGCAGGUGGUUUGUUAAGUCAGAUGUGAAAGCCCGGGGCUCAACCUCGGAAUAGCAUUUGAAACUGGCAGACUAGAGUACUGUAGAGGGGGGUAGGAAUUUCAGGUGUAGCGGUGAAAUGCGUAGAGAUCUGAAGGAAUACCGGUGGCGAAGGCGGCCCCCUCGGACAGAUACUGACACUCAGAUGCGAAAGCGUGGGGAGCAAACAGGAUUAGAUACCCUGGUAG
rnacentral:rRNA from 1 species